rnacentral:rRNA from 1 species
AUGCAGCGACGCCGCGUGUGGGAUGACGGCCUUCGGGUUGUAAACCUCUGGGACAAGGGACGAAGCGCAAGUGACGGUACCUGGAGAAGAAGCACCGGCCAACUACGUGCCAGCAGCCGCGGUAAUACGUAGGGUGCGAGCGUUGUCCGGAAUUACUGGGCGUAAAGAGCUCGUAGGCGGUUUGUCGCGUCGUCUGUGAAAUUCUGCAACUCAAUUGUAGGCGUGCAGGCGAUACGGGCAGACUUGAGUACUACAGGGGAGACUGGAAUUCCUGGUGUAGCGGUGAAAUGCGCAGAUAUCAGGAGGAACACCGGUGGCGAAGGCGGGUCUCUGGGUAGUAACUGACGCUGAGGAGCGAAAGCGUGGGUAGCGAACAGGAUUAGAUACCCUGGUAGUCCACGCCGUAAACGGUGGGUACUAGGUGUGGGGCUCAUUUCACGAGUUCCGUGCCGUAGCUAACGCAUUAAGUACCCCGCCUGGGGAGUACGGCCGCAAGGCUAAAACUCAAAUGAAUUGACGGGG